GUGCUCACUUCGGCAGCACAUAUACUAAAACUGGAACAGUAGCACAUAUACUAAAACAGUACUGAGAUUAACAUGGCCUCUGGGCAAAGAUGACAUUCAAGUUCUUGAAGCGUACCAUGAAAAC
rnacentral:snRNA from 1 species